UACGUAGGGUGCGAGCGUUGUCCGGAAUUAUUGGGCGUAACGAGCUCGUAGGCGGUCUGUCGCGUCUGCUGUGAAAACCCGAGGCUCAACCUCGGGCCUGCAGUGGGUACGGGCAGACUAGAGUGCGGUAGGGGAGAAUGGAACUCCUGGUGUAGCGGUGGAAUGCGCAGAUAUCAGGAAGAACACCGAUGGCGAAGGCAGUUCUCUGGGCCGUAACUGACGCUGAGGAGCGAAAGCGUGGGGAGCGAACAGG
rnacentral:rRNA from 1 species